rnacentral:tRNA from 1 species
GGGGUUGUGGCUCAGUGAGAGAGUGCUUGCCUGGUGUGCAUAAGGCACUGGGUUCGAUCCCCAGCACCACA